rnacentral:rRNA from 1 species
UUCGCAAUGCCCGAAAGGGUGACGAAGCGACGCCGCGUGCGGGAAGAAGGCCUUCGGGUUGUAAACCGCUGUCGGGAGUUAAGAAAUGCAAGGGUGUUAACAGCAUCCUUGCUUGACUAAGGCUCCGGAGGAAGCCACGGCUAACUCUGUGCCAGCAGCCGCGGUAAUACAGAGGUGGCAAGCGUUGUUCGGAAUUAUUGGGCGUAAAGAGCACGUAGGCGGCUGUGUAAGUCGGUUGUGAGAGCCUUCCGCUCAACGGGAGAACGGCAUCCGAUACUGCAUGGCUUGAGUGCGGGAGGGGAGAGUGGAACUUCUGGUGGAGCGGUGAAAUGCGUAGAUAUCAGAAGGAACACCGGCGGCGAAGGCGACUCUCUGGCCCGUAACUGACGCUGAGUGUGCGAAAGCUAGGGGAGCAAACGGGAUUAGAUACCCCGGUAGUCCUAGCCGUAAACGAUGGGCACUAAGUAGAGGGGUUUU